CAAUAGCGUAUAUUAAAGUUGUUGCGGUUAAAAGCUCGUAGUUGGAUUUCUGCUGAGGACGACCGGUCCGCCCUCCGGGUGAGCAUCUGGUUCGGCCUUGGCAUCUUCUUGGUGAACGUAUCUGCACUUGACUGUGUGGUGCGGUACCCAGGACUUUUACUUUGAGGAAAUUAGAGUGUUCAUGGCAGGCUAACGCCCUGAAUACACAAGCAUGGAAUAAUAGAAUAGGACUGGGUCCAUUUUGUUGGUUAUUGGACGCAGUGAUGAUUAAUAGGGACAGUUGGGGGCAUUAGUAUUUAAUUGUCAGAGGUGAAAUUCUUGGAUUUAUUAAAGACUGACUUAUGCGAAAGCAUUUGCCAAGGAUGUUUUCAUUGAUCAAGAACGAAAGUUAGGGGAUCAAAGACGAUUAGAUACCGU
rnacentral:rRNA from 1 species